rnacentral:rRNA from 1 species
CGCAUCUGUGCAUGCAGCAUAUCAAUAAGCGGAUGAAAAGAAACUAACAAGGAUUCCCCUAGUAACGGCGAGUGAAGCGGGAAGAGCUCAAAUUUGAAAUCUUAAAGGGUUUCCCUUUACGAAUUGUAGUUUAAAGAAGUGUUUUCUGUUGAGGUUUUGGUAAAAGUUCUUUGGAAUAGGACAUCAUAGAGGGUGAGAAUCCCGUAUUUGACCUUUACUUUCAACUUUGUGAUACACUUUCAAAGAGUCGGAUUGUUUGGGAAUGCAGUCCAAAAUGGGUGGUAAAUUUCAUCUAAAGCUAAAUAUUGGCGAGAGACCGAUAGCGAACAAGUACCGUGAGGGAAAGAUGAAAAGAACUUUGAAAAGAGAGUUAAACAGCUACGUGAAAUUGUCAAAAGGGAAGCGUUUGACACCAGUGUUGUUUUUCUGAAAAUCAAUUAAAGAACUGUUUAUGCUAAGCUGUUUAGACUUUAUCAGCUAUCUGUUUAGCUUUGAGCUUUUCUUUAAUGCACUUUUCAGUUAACAAGUCAACAUCAAUUUCUUUUGCUGUAAAAAAGCUUGAGGAAGGUGGCUUGAGAUUCGUCUUAAGUGUUUAUAGCCUCUUGCCUAUGCAGUCGGAGAGAUUGAGGUCUGCAGCGUAGAUCCUUCGGGGCUAAAUGCAUUUGUGCUAAGUUAUAGCAUUUUAUAGACAACUUGUUGACUAUGAUUUGUCUUGUAGCUUACUCGCUUAUGUUAUUUUACCUACGCUUAGGAUGUUGAGCGCAUGUCUCUCUCU